rnacentral:rRNA from 1 species
UACGUAGGGUGCAAGCGUUAAGCGGAAUUACUGGGCGUAAAGCGUGCGCAGGCGGUGAUGUAAGACAGAUGUGAAAUCCCCGGGCUCAACCUGGGAACUGCAUUUGUGACUGCAUCGCUGGAGUACGGCAGAGGGGGAUGGAAUUCCGCGUGUAGCAGUGAAAUGCGUAGAUAUGCGGAGGAACACCGAUGGCGAAGGCAAUCCCCUGGGCCUGUACUGACGCUCAUGCACGAAAGCGUGGGGAGCAAACAGG